GUCUGGGAAUGCAUGGUUUCCCGGCCAGACGCCGAGGGCCCUCAAAGUCCCUAGCAACGGCUGCGGAGGCAGAUUCCACCUAGGUCUGUGCAGGUUACAAAUGGCAACCCAGAACAGGGACUCCAAGGACGCCCAACGAGCAGCAUCCGAACAUGGGACUUCAAGGACGUGAAUGAAGAAGGUCUGCUGGAGCAGAGGAACUGAAAUGGACAAGGUGAACAGGGACCCUGGGAAGAGUCUGCUGGCAGCAUAUAUAAGUCUGUAAAAUCGGAUGGACCGCCAAUUGGAGAAUGAGAGCUGCCCAGCCCAGCCUUACAUUCUUUCAAUUAAUUCAUAAACAGGGGGAUAUGCAGGCAGCCGAAGCCCCGUGGGACAUGAAGCCCCGUGGGAAAUGACCAACUCAGCAUUCCACUGGAGGCUAUAUGAUCAAACAGCAAACUGUUUAUUAUGAAUACAAGAUGUGAGCAAACUCACCACUGCUCCUGCCGACAGAAGGUUUGCUGGAGGCAAUCACUCCCUGGCACCGAGGUUAUCUAGAGGUUAUCUACUGUAACAUCUAGAGAAUGCAGUCUUGCAAGGCUACUCUGAACUGAGAAGCUGACCCCUUCUUCCACCCCCCCACCCUCCUAUCUCUUUUGCCUAAUAAAUACAGAGGGCUGUGUAAAGCUCAGGGCCCUUGUCCACUAGAGGCAAGGUGCUCCCUGACCCCUUCUUCCAAAUAUA
rnacentral:antisense_RNA from 1 species